GGAGAGAUGGCUCAGUGGUUAAGAGCACUGGCUGCUCUUCCAGAGGCCCUGAGUUCAAUUCCCAGCAACUACA
rnacentral:tRNA from 1 species